GGUUGUGAUUCAAAAUUCUUUUUUUUUAAGAGAUCACCCUCCGAUUUGUGAUGGAGCUCGUUUAGCAGAGUCAUUGGUUUUUUUAUGCAAUUUUUGAUGUACUGUCGCCUUUCUUUAACACUAUAAUAUGCUUCAUUCAAAGUUUAUGUUCAUGUCCCAUUACUAAAUUGCUAGGAAUAACAUUUAUAUAUAUGCGGUGUCAUGUGUUCUUCUGUUUGUCUGUCUGUUUGGUUUUUUUCAUUUUUUACCAGGCGUUGUCAGUUUAUUUUCGAUUUAUGCGUAUGACUGUCCCUCUGGUAUCUUUCGUCUCUCUUUUAUAAACUUUGCUUGAUUAUUAUAUAUGAUUUGAAUUAAGUACAUUUAACCUUGAUUAUAAAUCUGUUCUUGAUUUUUUCUCUUCUUUAUGUCGUAGACUUGUUGUCUUCUUGAUGUAUAUCAAAGUUUCAUAUAUAACAGUAACAGUUACUUUUCG
rnacentral:lncRNA from 1 species